AUUGAACGCUGGCGGCAGGCCUAACACAUGCAAGUCGAAUGGUAACAGGAAACAGCUUGCUGUUUCGCUGACGAGUGGCGGGCGGGUGAGUAAUGUCCGGGAAACUGUCUGAUGUAGGGGGGUAACUACUGGAAACGGUAGCUCAUACCGCAUAACGUCCCAAGACCAAAGAGCGGGACCUUCGCGCCUCUUGCCCGCAUAUGUGCCCAGAUGGGAUUAGCUAGUAGGUGGGGUAACGGCUCACCUAGGCGACGAUCCCUAGCUGGUCUGAGAGGAUGACCAGCCACACUGGAACUGAGACACGGUCCAGACUCCUACGGGAGGCAGCAGUGGGGAAUAUUGGACAAUGGGCGCAAGCCUGAUGCAGCCAUGCCGCGUGUAUGAAGAAGGCCUUCGGGUUGUAAAGUACUUUUAGUGGGGAGGAAGGGCGUAAAGUUAAUACCUUUGCUCAUUGACGUUACCCGCAGAAGAAGCACCGGCUAACUUCGUG
rnacentral:rRNA from 1 species